rnacentral:rRNA from 1 species
GACGAACGCUGGCGGCGUGCUUAACACAUGCAAGUCGAACGGAAAGACCCUGCUUUUGUUGGGUGCUCGAUUGGCGAACGGGUGAGUAACACGUGAGUAACCUGCCCUUAUCUUUGUGAUAACUUCAGGAAACUCGGGCUAAUACCGGAUAGGAUCUCCUGCUGCAUGUUGGGGGUUGGUAAGUUUCGGCGGUUGUGGCUGGACUCGCUGCUUAUCAGCUUGUUGGUGUGGUAGUGGCUUACCAAGGCUUUGACGGGUAGCCGGCCUGAGAGGGUGACCGGCGACAUUGGGACUGCGAUAGGGCGCAGAAUCCUACGGGCGGCAGCAGUGGGGAAUAUUGCACAAUGGGCGGAAGCCUGAUGCAGAAACGCCGCGUGCGGGAUGCCGGCCUUCGGGUUGUAAACCGAUUUCGAAUGUGACGAAGAGGGAGUGACGGUAAUGGGUAAAGAAGCACCGGCUAACUACGUG